GGCUAGUCAUCCUGUGAGCUGAUUCUGUGGGGUGCCCUGGGCCAAAUAUCUGAGAAUUGGCUGAGGAUCAUAGUUACUAUUAACUAUAAAAUACCGCUCCCUCUCCAGGAUAAGUACAAAGGUAAUGAGGAGAGAGACGAGGAUUAGAAGAUCUUCCUGUUAAUGCAGUCAACUAUUUCAGGCAAUUCUCUUCAAGGUUUGACUUCUAACAGUUUUUAGGAACAUGCAUCAUCUUUUAUUUGUUUAUGGUCAAGCUGUGGCUUAAAGCACCUCCUUUUAGAGUAAUUAGUGUUUGUGUUUGUGUUACUUGUUGGAUCUUUUGUUCAGAUAGGAAUUGUGACAGACUGGUGACGGUUUUUUUAAUAUACAAGAGCCAGAAAAGCCUUUCCUCAACCAACUGUUGCCAAUUAUGGUUCAAGAAGGGUUAAUGUCCCUGGCUCUGGACUGCUGGUAUUGAAACUCCACCCUCAGAGAGGCAAACCUCUCUCGCUAUGUUUUGCUGGUAAUUCUACUACUCCCUCUGAGAGGGGUGAGCUUGUCUGUACAAGCAUUCUAACGAAAAAAAACGCAGGACUAUAAAACCCCGGAUGCCUGGAUGCGAAUCAUUUACUCUGGAAGUUCGUGAGGGAGAGUCCACAACUGUGAUUCUAAGCCGUGAAUCAAAUGAACUUUAUUCCUGUUCAUUCAAAUGAAUGUGGUUGCAGAUCUAGCUGAAUGGGAGUUCUGAGGAGUUCAGGAAAUCUGUGAUCCACUGUUGAACAAGUGGAGACCGGUGUCAUACAGCAGCCAGUGGUCUGCUGAUGGGGCUAAGCGAGCAACCUGGAGGCUGUCAACGUCCCCAGAGCUUUGGGCAUUGCAGGCACCUAUAAAGUUUCGAGAUGCAACAUGGAAACCGACCCUUCGGCCAACCGAGUCUGCACCGACCAGCAAUCCCGCACGCUGUCCUACACACACUAGGGACAACUUACAAUGUUACCGAGCCAAUUAGCCUUCAAACCUGUAUGUCUUUGGAGCGUGGGAGGAAACCAGAGCACCCGGAGCAAACCCACGCGGUCACGGGGAGAAAGCAUACGCUCCGUACAGAGAGCACCUGUAGUCAGGAUGAAGUCCAGGUCUCUGCCGCUUUAAGGCAGCAACUCUACUGCUGCGCCACCGUGCCGCAGAUCCAUGUCUUUAUGACUCUCAUGUCCAGUCACAUGUUCAGCAGAUGUCUGUUAUAAAAAUGAAUUGAAUGAUGCUGCAUUUUCAGCAAAAAGCCAGGCUGAAAAAGUGACGUAUAUCAGUAUAAUGGCUAAAACACUGCAAUCAGUUCCAUCCCACAACCAUGUCUCAUCACAGGAAAAUAUUGAAUAAGGUUAAAAUGUUAUACCUGAUCCUUAUUGUUUUAAAAUCAUAUCUAUCAGACUAAUUAUAUUAAAUUAUUAUUAUUGUUUGAAAAAACAUAACAAUUAAAAGUAAAAUGCUUCUAAAAGCCCAUUAGGAUGCAUCAAAGUAAUUUCAUAUUUGCAUUGUAUAGUUGGCUAGCCUGGUUUUAAUUGAAAAUUCUGGUUUCGAUUUCAAUUGCUUAUAUAAACAUUUUGUUGAUUGUUAUUUUGGAGCUCCACUUUUAUCUGAGGUUUUGUAUUUCAACUGGGUAUUGAAUUGAUAUUCUAGCAGCCUGAUUUUUUUAAAUCUCUGUGGAAAUAAAUACUACUGUACAUGUGAAAGAAUGCUUUUCUUAAGAAAAUCUUAUAAAAAGGAGGCAGCUGGCCUGCAGGCUUUAUCUUUAAUUAUCUCAUGUUUCCCUUUGGUUCCUUUUGCAAUGUCUAACUUGCUAGCAAAAUAAACCCAAUAAGUGAAAGAUUCAAGUCGCAAACCUAUUAAAUAACUUAGUUGGUAAAUGAAUUCCCGAUAGGCAAUGAAACUCAAGAAACAAACAGUAUCUGCUGGUCAUUAAUCUGGGCUGUGUUAGCUAUUCAUACUAACGGUGACAAGACUGAUGCAACAGUUCAAACAUUCCUAAGCUGAGGAAUGAAACCAGGGUUAGGGAUAUUAUAUAACGACACCAGCUGGAAAAACUUGUUAUGCAGAUUUAAAGUUAUGAUUGGACUAAUUAGAAUUGCAACUCAUUUAGUCAUAGUCAUAGGGUAGCGUGGAAACAGACCCCUCGGCCCAACUUGCCCACACUGGCCAACAUGUCCCAUCUAUACUCGUCCCACCUGUCUGCGUUUGGCCCAUAUCCCUCUAAACCUAUCAUCUCCAUGUACCUGUCUAAAUGUUUCUCAAAUAUUGUGAUAAUAUCUGCCUUAACUGCCUCCUCUGGCAGCUCAUUCCAUAUGCCCACCACCCUUUGUGUGAAAAAGUUACCCCUCAUCUUUUCCCCUCUUGUCCUUGAUUCCCCUACUCUGGGCAAGAGACUCUGUGUGUCUACCUGAUCUAUUCCUCUCAUGAUAUUGUACACCUCCAUAAGUUCACCCCUCAUCCUCCUGCGCUCCAAGGAAACUCCUUCCACAAGUAAGCUAUGGUCUGCCUUUAAGGUCAAGUCAAGUCAAGUCACUUUUAUUUCUAUAGCACAUUUAAAAAACAACUCUCAUUGACCAAAGUGCUUUACAUUGGUGGAGGUACUAACGUUAUACAACAUUGGUUCAUAGAUUAAGUACAUACAUAAAUAAAUACAUAUAACCCUCCCUCAGAGGACGUCAAGAAAGGCUUGAGAGUAAAGAUGAGUUUUAAGUCUGUACUUAAAAGAGUCGAUGGAGGGGGCAUUUCUGAUGGGAAGAGGGAUGCUGUUCCACAGUCUAGGAGCUGCAACUGCAAAGACCGCAGGAUGUUGAGUAACCCCAAGUCGGCCGAUCUGAGGGACCUGGAGGUGGUGUGGUGGGUAAGCAGAUUUUUGAUGUAGGUGGGGGCAAGCCCGUUAAGGGCUUUGUAGACAUAAA